UUAAAAAAGUAGAACAAAGGAAAGUUGAAAAUCCUCACAGAAGAUUUUAUCUUCGACCUGAAGGGAUAAGUGAAAAUUAUGCAGUCAAAGUUGAAUGCUCAGCUGUCGAAAGCACCGAAGAUGAGGAUGAGGUUGUUGUAGAAGCAUUAAGCAAUAGUUUUUUAUUUGUUUAUCAAACUGAAGAAAUGCAGAGGUUGUUAAAAAUAUAUGGCAAUGAAAUUACCCUUUUGGAUGCCACUUACAAAACAACAAAAUAUUCUUUACCACUCUUUUUUCUUGUUGUAAAAACAAAUGUCGAUUAUCAGAUAGUAGGUACCUUUAUUUGUGAAGGAGAGUCAACGAAAAAUAUUCAAAGUGGUCUUGCUAAAAUAAAAGAAAGGAAUCCUAAUUGGAAUCCUUUAUAUUUUAUGGUUGAUUGUUGUGCUGAAGAAAUUAAUGCUAUUGAGUCUUUACAUCAAGAGUGCCAAGUUCUCAUAUGUGACUUUCAUCGGGAACAAGCAUGAAAACGUUGGUUUAAUAAAGUAAAUAAUGGUGCCAGUGACAUUAAAGUAGAAAUGCUAGCCAAGUUAAGGAAAGUUGCCAGAGCUCAAUCAAAUGUUGAUUUAGCAAAAGCUCUGGAAAACUUAAAAAAAUGUGAACAUUAUUUAAAUCCAAACCACAAAAAUAUGUUUAAUUGGCUUGAAAAGCAAUGGUUACCACAUAUUGAGAGGUGGGCAUACUUGUAGCAUAAAGACAGAUUAAUGGU